AUUGAACGCUGGCGGCAGGCCUAACACAUGCAAGUCGAACGGUAACAGGAAACAGCUUGCUGUUUCGCUGACGAGUGGCGGACGGGUGAGUAAUGUCUGGGAAACUGCCUGAUGGAGGGGGAUAACUACUGGAAACGGUAGCUAAUACCGCAUAACGUCGCAAGACCAAAGAGGGGGACCUUCGGGCCUCUUGCCAUCGGAUGUGCCCAGAUGGGAUUAGCUAGUAGGUGGGGUAACGGCUCACCUAGGCGACGAUCCCUAGCUGGUCUGAGAGGAUGACCAGCCACACUGGAACUGAGACACGGUCCAGACUCCUACGGGAGGCAGCAGUGGGGAAUAUUGCACAAUGGGCGCAAGCCUGAUGCAGCCAUGCCGCGUGUAUGAAGAAGGCCUUCGGGUUGUAAAGUACUUUAAGCGGGGAGGAAGGGAGUAAAGUUAAUACCUUUGCUCAUUGACGUUACCCGCAGAAGAAGCACCGGCUAACUCCGUG
rnacentral:rRNA from 1 species